rnacentral:rRNA from 1 species
UACAGAGGGUGCGAGCGUUGUCCGGAAUCACUGGGCGUAAAGGGCGCGUAGGUGGCGCUGCAAGUCGGUGGUGAAAGCUCGAUGCUUAACAUCGAGUCGGCCAUCGAAACUGCAGGGCUCGAGCACUGUAGGGGCAGAUGGAAUUCCGGGUGUAGCGGUGGAAUGCGUAGAGAUCCGGAAGAACACCGGUGGCGAAGGCGGUCUGCUGGGCAGUUGCUGACACUGAGGCGCGACAGCGUGGGGGGCAAACAGG